rnacentral:snRNA from 1 species
AUACUUACCUGGACGGGGUCAAUGAGCGAUCAGGAAGGCUCAUGGCCUAGGUUGGUGACCUUCAUUGCACUUAGAAGGGGUGCCUGCUUAAGGUCUCCCCAAGUGGGAGAGCCUACGUCAUAAUUUAUUGCCUUGGGGGCUUGCGUCCGCGCAGCCCCCGC